rnacentral:lncRNA from 1 species
CACCGUGUUAGCCAGGAUGGUCUCGAUCUCCUGACCUUGUGACCCACCCACCUUGGCGUCCCAAAGUACUGGGAUUACAGGCAUGAGCUACCGCACCCAGCCUAAUUACAACUUAUUUUUAUUCCUAUUCAUUCUGCACAUCCCAACACAAGGCAAGAAGAAUCUAGAAAACAAUGCACAACCUACAUUGAGCUCCACCUCCUAUAAUUCCUAUUAGAUGUUAUUUGUAUCAAGUCAGCACCCUCCUACAUAGUAUUAUUAUACUCUGUAGUUGUUUUUCCUAUACAGAUAAUCUUUCUGUUACAUAUUGCUUUGUUAACAGAUUUUAAUUACAUAAUAUAUCUAUCUUACCAACUUUAUAAGUUUGUUGUAGGCAGAAGCAAUCUGUCUUUCCUAUUUUAUAGUGUUUGAGGCUGUAGGUAGCAAGUGUUGAAUGAAUAACUACUUUGUUACUUCUGAAAAGCUUACUUUUUGAUUAAUACUUUUCCUUUUUACCAAUUCCUUUUUCUUUUUUUUUCAGGCUCAUCCAUGGAAUACCAAUUCUUUUUCUUAGUGUUCACAUUGGAUUUUUCUGUUAAAAAUAGAUUGUUGGAGUUGGCUAACAAGUUGAUUACUUCCAGUCAGGCACUCUCUUCUGUAAAGUCUCUUUUGUAAACUCCUACAAGCAGCUAUUUCACUGGAUUUGAAAAGACUGACUAAAAAGAACCAUGCACUGUAACUCUCAAGUAUACAGGAAUAUUGUUAUUAGGUAAUUUUUUUUUUCAAUAUGUGUUAACCUUGUCUUCCCUACAAUUUUCUUUUUCUUUUUUUUUUUUUUUUGAGAUGGAAUCUCACUCUGUCGCCCAGGCUGGAGUGCGGUGGCACAAUCUCAGCUCACUGCAACCUCUACUGCCUGGGUUCAAGCGAUUCUCCUGCCUCAGCCUCCUGAGUAGCUGGGAUUACAGACGCGCGCCACCAUACCCAGCUAAUUUUUUGUAUCUUUAGUAGAGACGGGGUUUCACCAUCUUGGCCAGGCUGGUCUUGAACUCCUGACCUUGUGAUCCACCCGCCUCAGCCUCCCAAAGUGCUGGGAUUACAGGCAUGAGCCACGGCGCCCAGCCUCCCUACAGUUUUCAAACAUUCAGAGAGGUGAUUAUGGUGUAUCUUUUAUUCUGUUUUGCUUUGGAUCUUGGCGUUCUUCUAGAGAACUCAUCUGCUCAGGAGCUUCUCAGUGCAUCUUCCCUCCCAAACUUGUCUUACCCAGCAGAGAAUGAAUGUACUCAAGAUUACCAGUUUUGCAGAUGAAUAAACCAAUGAUUCCAGAGGUUAUGGUGCAUAUCUAGAGUCACAUGACUAAGAAAUGAUAAAACCAGGAUUUCAGCCAGGUUAUCUGUUUCAAGACAUUUUCAGACAAAAAAAUCUGGAGUUUGCCACCAACAAGAAAUGAUCCUAGCCUCAGCAUCUCAGCCCACACUGGGAGUGUCAGGUGCUGAAAAAAAAUUUUUUUAAUUUUACAUAGUAAAUAAUUUUAUAAAAAAGAAAGAAAUGAUCCCUUAUACAAGAAGGAAUGAUAAAAAUAUUAGUAAAUAAGUGGUUAAAACUAAAAACUUUUUACCAUACAAAGUAAUAGUAAGUAAUUUGUGUGGUUAAUAAGGUAAAGCAAGAUGGAACUGAUACUCUGGACAACAAAGUCAUAUAUUUAGAAGCAGGAUGAGUGGAGUGAUGGUUGGAGUUGAAGUUUUCCAAGGUCCUGGUAUUGUUUGGGAAGUGGGUAAAAAUAUUGAUUAACUUUAACCUUUACUCUUUUAAGUGUAUAAGAUAAAAUAUGUAGGGUAACUGCUUUUCCAAAUUAACAGAAGAAAAUAGAAUAAAGAAAAAUACAAAAAAAAAGGCCGAGCAUGGUGGCUCACGCCUGUAAUCCCAGCACUUUGAGAUGCUGAGGCGGAAGGAUUGCUUGAGACCAGGAGUUUAAGACCAGCCUGUGCAACAUAGCCAGACUCCCUCCCAGCUCUACAAAAAACAAAAGAGAUUAGCCAGCUGUGGUGGUGCACACCUAUAGUCCCAGCUACUUGGGAGGCUGAGGCAGGGGGAAUACAUUUCAGUUUUAAAGAGUGCAAAAUGGACAAGAAAAUAAAACUUAGGCCAGGUAUGGUGGCUCACGCCUGUAAUCCCAGCACUUUGGGAGGCUCAGGCAGGUGAAUUGCUUUAACUAAGGGGCUCAAGACCACCCUGGACAACAUGAUGAAACCCCAUCUCUACCUAAAAUACAAAAAAAUUGGCUGGGUGCGGUGGCUCACACCUGUAAUCCUAGCACUUUGGGAGGCUGAGAUGGGCAGAUCACCUGAGGUCAAGAGUUCAAGACCAGCCUGCCCAACAUGGCAAAACCCCAUCUCUACUAAAAAUACAAAAAUUACCCGGGCAUGCUGGCAUGUGCCUGUAAUCCCAGCUACUUAGGAGGUUGAGGCAGGAGAAUCACUUGAACUCAGGAGACGGAGGUUGCAGUGAGCCGAGAUCACGCCACUGCACUCCAGCCAGAGCAAGACUCCAUCUCAAAAAAAUUAGCCAGACAUCAUGGCACAUGCCUGUGGUCCCAGCUAGUCAGGAGGCUGAAGUGGGAGGAUCUCUUGAGCCCAGGAGUUCAAAGUUACGGUGAGCAAUGAUCUUGCCACUGUACACCAGCCUAGAUCACAAAGCAAGACUGUCUCUUUUAAAAAAAAAAGGCCAGGCAUGGUGUCUCACACCUAUAAUCCUAGCACUUUGGGAGGCUGAGGUGGGCGGAUUACUUGAAGUCAGGAGUUCGAGAUCAGCCUGGCCAGCAUGGUGAAACCCCUUCUCUACUAAAAAUACAAAAAUUAGCUAGGCAUGGUUGCAUGCACCUGUAGUCCCAGCUAUUUGGGAGGCUGAAGCAUGAGAAUCGCUUGAACCUGGGAGGCAGAGUUUGCAGUGAGCUGAGAUUAUGCCACUGCGCUCCAGCCUGGGCAACAGAGCAAGAUCCUGUCUCAACAAAAAACCAUUUCACCUCUUUAUGUGGCUUCUAGAAAAUUUAAAAUCACAUUUGUGACUUCCAUUUUAUUUCUCUUGGACAGCACUGAUCUAGGAUAUAUAUAGAACUAAUGUAAGUGAAUAAGAGAAAGACAACCCAGCUUUUUAAAUUGGUAAAUACCUCAGAAGAGGAAAAAUUAAUGUCCAGGAAACAUUUGAAAAGCUGUUUCAGGGAAAUCAGGGUGCUGGUCAGAGUGUUAAUUGAUACAAUCAUUUUGGAAAACAAGUUGGUUGGCAUUACCUAGUAGAGUUGCAUAUGGGCAUAUCUUAAAACCCAACAAUUGUUCUUAGAUAUACAAAUUAAAACUCUUGCAAAUAUACACCAAAAGACAUGUCUAGGAAUGUCUGUAGCAGUAUUGGCAAAUGGGCAAAUGUCUAUCAACUAUAGUAUAUAUAAUGAACUACUAUUAAACAGCUUAAAAGGCAGGGUUUUGCAUUUGUUGCUGAGGCAGGAGUAUCACCUCAAACACUUGGGCUCAAGCGAUCUUCCCACCUCAGUCACCCAAGUAGCUGGGACCACAGGUGUACUCCACCAUGCCUGGAUUUUUUUUUCCCCUGUCUUAUGGUGCUGAUGUAUAAUUGUUUUUUAGUUUUUUUAGAAACAGGGUCUCGCUAUGUUGCCCAGGUUGGUCUUGAACUCCUGGCCUCAAGUGAUCUUCCCACACUGGUGUCCCAAAGCAUUGGGAUUACAAGCAUGUGCCACCAAGCCUGGCCAUAACUGAAAUUUUCAGCUAUGCCUACCAAAAUGGUAAAGUCUUGGGGACAUAAUAAUGAACAGGAAAUAAAAGGCAUAGAAUGUUUUUCCAUUUAUGUAAAGUUUUAAGAGUCAAAAUUAAACAACAGAUGGUGUUGAGAAAUAUGGUAAAACUAUAACCAAGAGAAAGGUAAAGAAAAAUUUUAGGAUAGUUUUGGUUUGGUUUGGUUUUCCUUUCUGAACAGGAAAAGGGAUUAUAUAGGGGACACCCAGGAGGCCUCAGAGCACAGGUAAAUUUGUAUUUCUUAAACUAGUUAGUAAGUGGACAGAUAUUUGUUUUGUUAUUUUGUCUACACUAGAUGUAAUGAAUGUUAUUUAUAUCUAUUUAUUAUUCCGUAACAACUAUGUGUGUGCGUCCUUUGACCCAGCAAAUUCUAUUUCUAAAAUUUUGGUUCACGGAAAUAAAAGCACUCGUACAUAGACUAAAUGUACAAAUUAAUGGUAUAAUUUGUGGUGGGAGAAAUGAAGUGAAUGCUCAUAAAUAAGGGAAUGGGUGAAUAUAUUUUGGAACAUCCAUACAGAGGAGUAUUAUACUGUCAUUAAAAAGAAUUGAGUUUGCCAGACAUGGUGGCUGACAACUGUAAUCCCAGAACUUUGGGAGGCUGAUGUAGGAGGAUCACUUGAGCUCAGGAGUUGGACACCAGCCUGGGCAACAUAACAGGACUUCAUCUCUACUAAAAAUAAAAAAUUAGCUGGGUAUAGGGUCAUACACCUAUAGUCCCAGCUACUCAAGAGGUUGAGGUGGGCGGAUUGCUUGAGCCCAGGAGAUGGAGGCUGCAGUGAGGCAAGAUCGCGCCACUGCACUCCAGUCUGGACAACAGAGCAAGACCAUGUCUCAAAAAAUAAAUAAAUACAUAAUAAGUAUAUGCAUAUGUAUUUAGAUAUCUAUUAAGAAAUUAGGCCGGGCGCAGUGGCUCACGCCCAUAAUCCCACCACUUUGGGAGGCCAAGGCAGGCGAAUCAUCUGAGGUCAGGAGUUUGAGACCAGCCUGGCCAACAUGCCAAAACCCUGUCUCUACUAAAAAUACAAAAAUUAACCGGGCAUGGCACGCGCUGGUAAUCCCAGCUAGUCGGGAGGCUGAGGAAGAAGAAUCACUUGAACCCAGGAGGCAGAGGUUGAGUGAGCCAAGAUCACACCACUGCACUCCAGCCUGGGCAACAGAGUAAGAUUCCGUCUUAAAAAAAACAAAACAAAACAAAACAAAACCCUCACACUAUAUUCCAAAUCCUGAAAUAAGAAACAAAUUUGCAAAUUAAGAAAUUAUGGAUUAACUUAUUGAUUAUUGCUCAGAAAACGUACCUUAUUUUUACUCUGAAAUUCACUUUAUUUAUAAUACUUUAAAACAAUUUAGCUAAAGUAGUGUUUAUAGGAUGUUACUUCUCUGGUUAGACAUGUUUCACACAACAGUUUUCAAUGCUGAAAAUUCAUUUGAUAAUUUUAAUCACAAUUUAUGAUUGAUUGAUGGAUUAAUCAGUAAUUUAGAUGCCAUAAGAACCAUUGAAAGGAAUAAUCUGACUAUUGCUCAUUGUACAAUCUUGAUCAUUAGUUAUAAGCCAAGAAUCUGAUAUCCCACUCUUGAAUUACAUUUUUCAAUGUGUGUAUUUGGUCAACAACAGGUCACAGUGAGCCGAGAUCAUGCCACUCCACUCCAGCCUGGGUGACAGAGCAAGACUCCAUUUCAAAAAAAAAAAAAACUGAAAAUACCAAAUAUUGACAAGGAUUUGGAGCAAGUGGAACCCUCAUACAUUGCUGAUGGAAAUGCAAAAUUAUACAGCCAAUUUGGAAAAAUAACUGGGUGUGGUGGUGUGCACCUAUUUUUCCAACAACUUGGGAGACUAAGGUAGGAAGAUCCCUUGAGCCCAGGAGUUUGAGGUUACAGUGAGCUGAUGGCGCCACGGCUCUCCAGCCUGGGUGACAAAAUAAAACUGUUUCAAAAAAAAGAAAAAAAAAUGAUGCUAUAAGAAAAAAACUAUAUACCAAUGUCCUUCAUUAACAUAGAUACAAAAUGUUUAAUCACAAUUUUAGCAAAUUGAAUCCAACUGUCUCCCCCACCCCCACAUCUAUCUAUAUAUCUAUAUUUGUUUGUUUGUUUUGAGACGGAGUUUUGCUCCUGUUGCCCAGGCUGGACUGCAAUGGCAUGAUCUCGGCUCACUGCAACCUCCACCUCCUGGGUUCAAGUGAUUCUCCUGCCUCAGCCUCCCGAGUAGCAGGGAUUACAGGCAUGCCCCACCACGCCUGGCUAAUUUUGUAUUUUUAGUAGAAACGGGGUUUCACCAUGUUGGACAGGCUGGUCUCAAACUUCUGACUUCAAGUGAUCCGCCCGCCUCAUCCUCCCAAAGUGUUGGGAUUACAGGCGUGAGCCACUGCAUCCGGCCUUGUUUUUUUGUUGUUGUUUUUUUUUGAGACAGGGUCUUGGUCUGUCACCCAGGCCAGAGCGAGUCUCAUGGUUCACUGUAACCUCCGCCUCCUGGGAUCAAGGAAUCCCACCUCGGCCUCCUGAGUAGCUGGGACUAUAGGCACAAGCCACCACGCCUAGCUAGUUUUUGUUUUGUUUUGUUUGAUUUGGUUGGUUGUUUUUUUCUUUUUGUUUUUGUUUUUGUAGAGAUGGCGUUUUGCCAUGUUGCCCAGGGUGGUAUCAAACUCCUAGGCUCGAGUGAUCCACCCACUUCAGCUUCCCAAAAGGCUAGGAUUGUAAUCACAUCUGUAGGCAUGAGCCACCACGCCUGAUAAAUCUAACAAUACAUUAAACGUAAAAUACCAGGCCAGGUGCAGUGGCUCACACCUGUAAUCCCAGCAGUUUGGGAGGCCAAGGCGGGUGGAUCACCUGAGAUCAGGAGUUCAAGACCAGCCUGACCAACAUGGUGAAACCCCAUCUCUACUAAAAAUACAAAAAUUAGCUGGGCAUGGUGGCACACGCCUGUGGUCCCAGCUACUCGGGAGGCUGAGGUGGGAGAAGGGACUAGCCUUGUCUCAGAUGAGUCUUUGGACUUCUGAGUUAAUGCUGGAAUAAGUUAAGACUCUGAGGGACUAUUGGGAACACAUAAUUGUAUUUUGCAAUGUGAGAGGGACAUGAGAUUUAGUGGGGCCAUGGGUGGAAUGAUAUGAUUUGGGUCUGUGUCCCCACUAAAUCUCAUGUCGAAUCCCCAGUGUUAGAAGUGGGGCCUGGUAGGAGGUGAUUAGAUUAUGGGGAUGGUUUCUCAUGAAUUGCUUAGUACCAUGCCCCCUUGUGAGUUCUCACAACAUCUGGUUGUUUAAAAGUGUGUAGCACCUCCCCACCCUCUCUCUUGGUCUAGCUCCUGCCAUAUAAAAUGCCGGCUCCUGCUUUGCCUUUCACCAUGAGUAAAAGCCUCCUGAGACCUUCUCAGAAACAGAUGCUGCCAUCCUUCCUGUACAGCCUGCAGUACCGUGAGCAAAAUAAGCCUCUUUUGUCUAUAAAUUACCUAGUCUCAGGUAUUUAUUUAUAGCAAUGUAAGAAAGAACUAAUACAAGUGGUUUCACUUCUUAUAGCCUAAAACUACCUAGCAUGCCUUUGAAAUUGCAACUGCUUUCUAUUUCUUAUAAUUCAGACUUGUCUUUUCAUUUGUGACCAAUUCCUGUUAUUUCAAAACCAAAGAGUGCAUGAGGGUGAAUUAUAUUACCCUGAAGAGAUGAGACAAUGACUCUGUCUGAACCAUUCAGCUGGUCUAGGUGACUAGAGACUGCAGAGAUGUCAGGACUGUUGCCUAGGACACAAAGCAGACUUACAGGGCAUUCCUCACUGAAAGAACAUUUUAGGGACACUUACUUAUCCAGAAAGGCAUAAAUAAGGAACUGGUAACCCUGAUAACUUGAGAACCCUACUGCUACCUGGUGAUUAGAGGCAGUCUGAGACACAUAAGAGAGUGGUUCAGGCCAGGAGUGGUGGUUCACACCUGUAAUCCCAGCACUUUGGGAGGCCAAGGUGGGUGGAUUGCUUGAGAUCAGGAGUUUGAGACCAGCCUGGCCAGCAUGGCGAAACCCCCCUCUACUAAAAAUACCGAAGUUAGCCAGGUGUGGUGGCACAUGCCUGUGAUCCCAGCUACUUGGGAGGCUGAGGCACGAGAAUCACUUGAACCCGGGAGGUGGAGUUUGCAAUGAUCCAAGAUCAUGCCACUGGACUCCAGCCAGAGCAACACAGUGACACUCUGUCUCAAAAAUAUAUAUAUAUAUUUUGGGACCUGGACAGGUGACCAUGGUGAGACCUUUGAAGACAUAUGUAUGUCCAUAGCAUGCAUAUGUCUUUGAACUGUGUAUCUUGAAGUAAUGUUAUGUUAAAUUAUGUAAUAGAUAAUCAUAAAGUGUCUGAGUCAUUUCUAAGUAAGUUAAAAUGCUGAGAUAUCAAUUUAAUCUUUUAGUUUUUUGUUGUUGACUUUAGACAUCUAGAAAUAUAAAGCAUAAUCAAUUUAAGAAUAAAAAAUACGGCCUGGGUACAGUGGCUCAUGCCUAUAAUCCCAGCACUUUGGGAGGCCGAUGCGGGCAGAUCGCUUGAGUCCAGGAGACCAGCUCGGUAACAUGGAGAAACCCUGUCUCUACAAAAAAUAUAAAAAAUUAGCCAGGUGUAAUGGCAGGUGGGUGUGGUAGUAUGCGCCUAUAGCCCCAGCUACUAGGGAAGCUGAGGUCAGAUGAUCACUUGAGCCUGGGAGGUGUAGGUUGCAGUGAGCCAAGAUUGUGUCACUGCCCUCCAGCCUGGGCAACAGAGUGAGACCCUGUCUCAAAAAGCAAAAACUAUGCAAAUAAGGACAAUUAUUAACAAAACAAUCUGAAAUCCGUAUCUGAAAAGUGUUUCUGGCCAGGCGUGGCUCACGCCUGUGAUCCCAACAUUUUGGGAGGCCGAGGUGAGUGGAUCACUUGACACCAGGAGUUGAAGACCAGCCUGGCCAACAUGGUGAAACCCUGUCUCUACUCAAAAUACAAAAAUUAGCCAGGUGUGGUGGUGCAUGCCUGUAAUCCCAGCUACUUCUUAGGAGGCUAAGGCAGGAUAAUCGCUUGAACCCGGGAGGCAGAGGCUGCAGUGAGCCGAGACUGUGCCACUGCACUCCAGCCUGGGUGACAGAGCGAGACCCUGUCACAAAAAAAAAAAAAAAAAAAAAAAGUGUUUCUAAAGGUAACCAGGCCAGGCACAGUGGCUUGCCUAGGCCUACCAGCUGCAGGGCAGGUUACAGCUAGUGGCCCAAGCUCUGGGAUAAAAUAUUAAUCAAUAUUAAUGAUACUUAGUCUUUUAAGCUUAAGCUUAUAUACUUUGUUGUCUUUAUGGUUUAACAAAGCUAAAUAUAUUUCAAUCUGUUAAUAAAAAUGGAAGAAACAUCUUUAAAAAAUUAUGAAGUAAUUUUCAUCUACAAAUAUUGACAAAAAAGUUCAAAAUUACUUUCUAGGUUUUUCACUAGAAAUUAGGUUACUAAAAGUUAAAAUUAUAGUAAAUAUAUAUAUUAAAACUACUAGGCUGGGCCUGGUGGCUCGUGCCUGUAAUCCCAGCACUUUGGGAGGCCGAGGCAGGUGGAUCACCUGAGGUCAGGAGUUCAAGACCAGCCUGGCCAACAUGGUGAAACCCCGUCUCUACUAAAAUAAAAAAAUUAGCUGGGAGUGGUGGCAGGUGCCUGUAAUCCCAUAAUCCCAGUUACUUGGGAGGCUGAGGCAGGAGAAUCGCUUGAACCUAGUAGGUGGAGGCUGCAGUAAGCAGAGAUUGCGCCACUGCACUCCAGCCUGGGAGAGCAAGACUCUGUCUCAAAAACAAACAAAAAAAAUUUCUAGCUAUAAGAGAAACAAUUCUGUGUACACAGCAUUUAAAAACCAAAUGUGUCUUUGGUAAAGAAGAUUAUAAAGAAGGCAUGAGAAUGUAGUUUUUCUUAAAGGAAAAGUACUUUUGUCUAGAGAUUCCUAAAGAUUAUUUUAAGUUGAAAGGAUAAGAAAGAAUGAUAGAUAAAACUAAAUGGAGGCCAGGUGCAGUGGCUCACACCUGUAAUCCCAGCACUUCGAGAGGCUGAGGCAGGCGGAUC